rnacentral:rRNA from 1 species
AGCCACGGCUAACUACGUGCCAGCAGCCGCGGUAAUACGUAGGUGGCAAGCGUUAUCCGGAAUCAUUGGGCGUAAAGGGUGCGUAGGUGGCGUACUAAGUCUGUAGUAAAAGGCAAUGGCUCAACCAUUGUAAGCUAUGGAAACUGGUAUGCUGGAGUGCAGAAGAGGGCGAUGGAAUUCCAUGUGUAGCGGUGAAAUGCGUAGAUAUAUGGAGGAACACCAGUGGCGAAGGCGGCGGUCUGGGGUGCAGCUGACGCUCAGUCCCGAAAGCGUGGGGAGCAAAUAGGAUUAGAUACCCUAGUAGUCCACGCCGUAAACGAUGAGUACUAAGUGUUGGAUGUCAAAGUUCAGUGCUGCAGUUAACGCAAUAAGUACUCCGCCUGAGUAGUACGUUCGCAAGAAUGAAACUCAAAGGAAUUGACGGGGGCCCGCACAAGCGGUGGAGCAUGUGGUUUAAUUCGAUGCAACGCGAAGAACCUUACCUGGUCUUGACAUCCACGGAAGUUUUCAGAGAUGAGAAUGUGCCUUCGGGAACCGUGAGACAGGUGCUGCAUGGCUGUCGUCAGCUCGUGUUGUGAAAUGUUGGGUUAAGUCCCGCAACGAGCGCAACCCUUAUCCUUUGUUGCCAGCGGUCCGGCCGGGAACUCAAAGGAGACUGCCAGUGAUAAACUGGAGGAAGGUGGGGAUGACGUCAAGUCAUCAUGGCCCUUACGACCAGGGCUACACACGUGCUACAAUGGCGCAUACAAAGAGAAGCGACCUCGCGAGAGCAAGCGGACCUCAUAAAGUGCGUCGUAGUCCGGAUUGGAGUCUGCAACUCGACUCCAUGAAGUCGGAAUCGCUAGUAAUCGUGGAUCAGAAUGCCACGGUGAAUACGUUCCCGGGCCUUGUACACACCGCCCGUCACACCAUGGGAGUGGGUUGCAAAAGAAGUAGGUAGCUUAACCUUCGGGAGGGCGCUUACCACUUUGUGAUUCAUGACUGGGGUGAAGUCGUAACAAGGUAACCGUAGGGGAACCUGCGGUUG